rnacentral:misc_RNA from 1 species
AUGAAUGGAAAACUACUUUUAAAAUCCAAGAAGGAUUGUAUGAAUGGUUAGUGAAAAAUGAACAAAUUCGAACAUUAACUCAUUGUUAGCUUCUUUAGAUGGCCUUAAUGAAGCUUGUAUGUGAUCCACUAUUUAGAGUGUAAAUCUGACCUUAUAGGCUUAAAGGGACCUUAAUUGACAUAUCUUAAGGUGACACAUGAAAAAUGAGAACAAUUGAGCCAUAUUACAUUAACAGUCGCAUAUUGAGUGUGUU